rnacentral:tRNA from 2 species
AGCAUGUUAGCUCAGGGGAAGAGCGGUAAUUUUUCAAACAAUAGGUCCCUGGAUCGAAACCAGGACAUGCUA